rnacentral:misc_RNA from 1 species
AAACCUACUAGCUCAUUUUAGCCAGUUGAGUUGAACUAAUGUUUGUUGCUUAUAUUAAUAAGCUUAAAUUCCAACCUGACUGUUGGAAAAAUUAGAUGCCUGCAACUUCAACAAUGGAAAAAAUGGAAAGUGAGAAAGGACUUGGAGAUCAACCUGGGCCAAGAGACUCCUACAAGAUUGCUUAUAUAAUCCAUUUUUUGCUUGGUGCUGGUAAUUUGCUUCCCUGGAAUGCUUUUAUCACGGCUGUCGAUUACUUUGGAAAUCUCUACCCAACCAGGCACGUUGAGAAGGUCUUUUCUGUAGCUUAUAUGAGUUCUUCGGUUGUAGUUCUAAUUUUAGUCAUAAGUCGGGGUGGUUGGAGCAAGAAACUCACUUACAGGUUGAGAAUGAACUUGGGAUUUUCCAUGUUUGUUCUCUCUUCAAUGGUGCCUCCAACAAUAGAUUGGGUUGGGAGACCAAAGGGAGCCUACGGUGUGACAGUAGCAUCGGUGGUGGUUUGUGGUUUAGCUGAUGGUUUGAUAGGAGGAAGUCUAAUAGGAUCAGCAGGAAAGCUUCCCAAAGGGUACAUGCAAGCUGUUUUUGCCGGAACUGCCUCUUCAGGGGUUCUUGUCUCCAUCUUGAGGAUUAUAACAAAGGCAUCACUCCCGCAGACUCCCCAAGGUCUCAGAACAAGUGCUCACUUCUAUUUUAUAGUUAGCACAAUUAUUCUGAUGUGCUGCACACUCUGCUGCAAUUUCUUAUACAAGUUACCAGUUAUGGAACAGCAUUUCACGCUUCUUCCAAACGAUGAUUCAUUGACUUCAAGGCCAACAUUUUGGGCGGUUGCAAGAAAAAUCCGUUGGCCAGUUUUCGGGAUUCUCAUCAUUUAUGUUGUUACUCUUUCAAUUUUCCCUGGAUUCAUAGCUGAAAGUCUUGCAUCCAAGUUGCUAGAGGAUUGGUAUCCAGUUCUUCUGAUAACGGUGUAUAAUGUUUCAGAUUUCGUAGGGAAAUCCUUAACUGCGAUAUAUGUUCUGAAGAGCAUCAAGAAAGCAACAUGGGCUUGCAUUCUUAGGCUUUUGUUCUAUCCGCUCUUUGCAGCAUGCCUGAAUGGACCCAAAUGGCUGAGAACUGAAGUGCCAGUGAUGUCGCUAACCUUUUUGCUUGGAGCAAGUAAUGGCUAUCUGACAAGCGUCAUCAUGAUCCUUGCUCCUAAGUCAGUUCCAGUUUUUGAAGCUGAGUUAUCUGCAAUUGUUCUGGUUGUGUUCUUAGGACUUGGGUUGGUUGGUGGUUCAGUUCUUGGCUGGUUUUGGAUCGUAUGAUCCAUUUCUGUUCUGAGGUCACGCGGCUGGUUGAUCCUGAAACAGCUAGAAAUCCAUAAUUAGAAAUUCAAUAACGUUGUUAACUAGAGCCAGCCUACUCCUAGAAGUAUGGAUAAGUCAAUUUAAAAUUUGAAUUAUAUGAAAAUUAAGAGUAUCAACCUGCAUUCCUGCAAUUUCAUGGCCAGAUGAUUUUUCUAUCCUUUGUGGAAUCACCCUUUCUGCACUAAUAAAG